UCACGUCCUCCUCGUUCCUUCCACUCCCUCGCCUCCUCCUUCCUCCCCAUCCGGCGGCGCCUCCUCCCUCUUUCCCACGGCCUUCUGCAUCGCGCCGCCACCGGCUGGCUCCUCCUUCUCUCUUCUGGAUCGGGCGCAGCCGCCAUAGGAGAGCAUGGGCUCGAACUGAGUGAGGAAGAGGUGGUUUGCGGCCACGCGGGUGAGGAGGGCGGCCUUCCGCUGAACGCCACCGUCCUCUCCUCGCGCGCCCUCGCGGCCAGAAGAGGCAGAUAUGUACGGAGGAUCCACGAGCUUGGUGCCAUCCGUCCCGUCCGUCGACGCCCACCCCCUCUUCCCCAACGCGUAGGUGCUCUAUUCACUUGCGUCUUUGCUGCCUCAAGUGUGCGGAUGCGACCACCAGCUGUUUGUAUAAAUGCUCAAGGAGGACUGCUCUGGGGAGGACAUCACGUGUGUUUGAAAGAGAGGGAUGGAAAAGAGGGGGCUGGAGUGAGAGGAGAAGAGGAAGGAAUUGAACCACAUGUUAUUUCUUUGUCAUCGACGUCAUCCCACCAUUGUAGAGAUUUUCUUGGAUGACAUGCGGCCCAUACUCUCGCCCCUUGUCCUCCAUCUCUGUUGGUACCCUUUCAUGGUUUCUUGUCCACUUCUUUCAUGAUUUAUUCUUUUCAAAUAGUAAUUCAGGCUGUUAUACUAAUUUGAUUGAUGUGGGUGGUGUAAUAAUUCAGGUCGUGCAGGAUGGUCUGCUAAUUUCCCUGAUGCUUCAUUAGGUUUCGCUUUUUGAUACAUUGAUUGAUUCCCAAUUUGAUGCAAAUAACCAAAAUGAAUGAAUUGAUGUGGCCGUUAUACUAAAUUUUCCUUAUUUUGUGUGUGAUUAUGCUCGGGUUUUGGAAGAAUCGGGCUAAGGGGUGAUUGUGCUCAGGUUUUGAUGCAGUGAGAUUCAGAUAAUUUUAAGAAACGCAUGUAAAGGAGUCCAAACAGGACGGGCUCGGUGUACAUGGUUUUCAGUUAAUGCAGUUUAGGUCUGACCAGCACAAGUGGCAACAGGCAGUAGUGGAGAAGGCAUGAAGAGGCCCACAUCUGAAAAUGUCAACUAUUCUAGGAUUUUUGAGCUGCUGACCAUGUGAUUGGUAGCCGACGAUUUCUUCAUGGGUUGCUGAUUUCUCAAGUUUUGCCUCACACAAAAGAGGGCUAGCAACACCUUUGACAGAAACAGCCAACAUUCAGUGCAGAUCCGGUAUAUUCUGGUUGUCUUCCAUUUAGUUGACGGCAUGCAAGACUGAUCUGAUGCAUCUACUGCUUGUUGACUUGGUUAUAUUUAUCUAUAAAGUGGCAGUGGUGCAGAAUAUAUCCUCUGCCAUGGAAGGAGGUAUUUGAUGCUGUCAGAUGGCAUAUAGGUCAAUAAUGAGGUGACUGCCGGGGUAAUCUCAGGAAGGGACAACGACACAAAUUAACUUUGUUGACAAGCUCACGAUCACGGGGAACAAGCCGUCCUGCAGUGUUUCCAUGUACUGCAAGUUGACGACAAGUUCAUUGUUGACGCCAUGCAAUUUCUUACAAAAUACAUGUGGUACAGGUAUGAAGGCCGACACUGAUUAUCAAGUGGCAUCAGUGAAGAUUGGGAGGUAGAGAGGGAUUGCUCAAGUGGAAACAGAUCAAGAACCAGAAGGAGCUCAAGAUUUUGCUACUUCCUUGGUAAUAGCUUUGUGAGAUCAGUUAAAUAUUAUCCAGGACCAUGCACCCGCCCUUGACAAUGGCUUCCAGAAGCUAAGGUUGCAGGGGUGAAUUAAAGUUCGAUUUUCCAGCAGCGGGGUAACUACUACUGAUGGAGAUCAAACUAAUGAGCUCACGAAAAAGAAAUAUAGACAUCAAACACCAAAGGAGGUUAGUUUUUACCUGAGUGGAAACAGCAGUCGUAUCGUCUUGCUGGAGCCUCCUUUGUCAUGGAAAGUCACCAGCUUCCGGGAGUGCCAGCACAGCCGGAACAGACGCCACCUACGGCGGGGAGUGACAGUGGCAACUGCGCGGAUUUGGCUCACCCAUACGAGAAACGGCGGCGCCAUCUACCGACUUCGUGGCUCUGAGCUGGAGCGGGAGCUGCUGGGCCGUCGGGAUGCAGAUGGAGCCGCUGCAACUCCGAGCUGCCGGGCCACCGAGAUGCAGAUGGAGCCGCAACGCCUCCGAGCUGCAGCGGGAGCUGCUCCACCGCCAAGUUGUAGUGUGAGCCGCCGCGAAGAUGGAACCCAAGGUGCCCUCAUCCGCCUCCUCCAGCUGCUUCCUCACUUCAGUACGAGUACAGGGGGAGAGGAAUAGGACGAAGACUGGUGGAUGGAAUCAAGACCAGCGGUCAUGCGAGACACGUGGUAGGCAUUGUGCUACGUGGUGGUGGCUCGUGAAGCAACAAUUGACGUGUGUUGUUGUCUCUCAGCACGCUGUAUCUUGAGGGCAUGAUUGUAGUUUUCUUUAUCUUUGAGGUCUGUGAUGUUACUCAAACUGCCGGCCUUUUGGUUUUUGAUUUUAAUGAAAGCA